GGAUAACCUACCCUUAGGACCGGGAUAACCCUGGGAAACUGGGGAUAAUACUGGAUAGGCAAUUUUUCCUGCAAUGGUUUUUUGUUUAAAUGUUUUUUCGCCUAAGGAUGGGUCUGCGGCCGAUUAGGUAGUUGGUUAGGUAAUGGCUUACCAAGCCGUUGAUCGGUACGGGUUGUGAGAGCAAGAGCCCGGAGAUGGAACCUGAGACAAGGUUCCAGGCCCUACGGGGUGCAGCAGGCGCGAAACCUCCGCAAUGUGAGAAAUCGCGACGGGGGGAUCCCAAGUGCCAUUCUUAACGGGAUGGCUUUUCAUUAGUGUAAAGAGCUUUUGGAAUAAGAGCUGGGCAAGACCGGUGCCAGCCGCCGCGGUAACACCGGCAGCUCUAGUGGUAACAAUUUUUAUUGGGCCUAAAGCGUCCGUAGCCGGUUUAAUAAGUCUCUGGUGAAAUCCUGUAGCUUAACUGUGGGAAUUGCUGGAGAUACUAUUAGACUUGAGAUCGGGAGAGGUUAGAGGUACUCCCAGGGUAGAGGUGAAAUUCUGUAAUCCUGGGAGGACCGCCUGUUGCGAGGGCGUCUAGCUGGAACGAUUCUGACGGUGAGGGACGAAAGUUAGGGGCGCGAACCGGAUUAGAUACCCGGGUAGUCCUAACUGUAAACGAUGCGGACUUGGUGUUGGGGUGGCUUUGAGCUGCC
rnacentral:rRNA from 1 species